rnacentral:rRNA from 1 species
UACAGAGGUGGCAAGCGUUGUUCGGAAUUACUGGGCGUAAGGGCGCGUAGGCGGCCCGUCAAGUCCCGUGUGAAAGCCCCCGGCUCGACCGGGGAACUGCACGGGAAACUAGCAGGCUUGAGUUCGGGAGAGGGAAGCGGAAUUUCGGGUGUAGCGGUGAAAUGCGCAGAUAUCCGAAGGAACACCGGUGGCGAAGGCGGCUUCCUGGACCGACACUGACGCUGAGGCGCGAAAGCUAGGGGAGCAAACGGG